rnacentral:rRNA from 1 species
GAUGAACGCUAGCGAUAGGCUUAACACAUGCAAGUCGCGGGGCAGCACAAGGUAGCUUGCUCUCUGGGUGGCGACCGGCGCACGGGUGCGUAACGCGUAUGCAACUUGCCCUAUACAGGAGGAUAACCCGUCGAAAGACGGACUAAUACUGCGUAUGCUCACAACUUGGCAUCAAGUGGUGAGGAAAGAAAUUCGGUAUAGGAUAGGCAUGCGUCCCAUUAGCUUGUUGGUGAGGUAACGGCUCACCAAGGCAACGAUGGGUAGGGGAACUGAGAGGUUUAUCCCCCACACUGGUACUGAGACACGGACCAGACUCCUACGGGAGGCAGCAGUGAGGAAUAUUGGUCAAUGGGCGCGAGCCUGAACCAGCCAAGUCGCGUGAAGGAUGACUGUCUUAUGGAUUGUAAACUUCUUUUAGACGGGAAUAACAAGAGUCACGUGUGACUCCCUGCAUGUACCGUAUGAAUAAGCAUCGGCUAACUCCGUG